UGAUGAUGAUGAUGAUGAUGAUGAUGAUGAUGAUGAUGAUGAUGAUGAUGCUGAGGUCAUGAUGAUGAUCAUGAUCAUGAUCAUGAUCAUGAUGA
rnacentral:miRNA from 1 species